GUCAAAGAAGUAAAACUUGCAAAAAUCACUUCACAACGUUUCUAUUCUCAGAUAGGAAGAAAUUCUACCUUCUAAAGAUAUACAUUUGAAUACACAUAAAUUGCCCUGCCUGGGAAUUUUGAGCUGUCAGUACCGAGCGCCUCACCUCUUCAUUCUUCUCCUGCUCCUGGUCACUGGGUAGUUCAUGAGCUCCCCAGACGUGAUCUUGCAAAUAACCUACUGUCUGCUCUAAAUAAAGUAUUCAGACCAGG
rnacentral:lncRNA from 1 species